rnacentral:lncRNA from 1 species
GAACGGCAGCAAGAGGGAUCGAGGUGAGACGGCAAGACGUUCUGACUUCCAGGGCUGCAUGUCAUCAACACGUGAGGGGCGUGUUUCCUGGAGAGGGAGAGCUGCUUACCAGCUCAGUCGGGAAGUGGGAGGAUGGACGGCCCACGGUGGGGUCUCUGUUCAGGCUUGUGUGUGAGCACCUGUGUGUGCAUCAUGUGUGUGUGCCCAGAUAUGUGUGUCCACAGUCUUUAGUGAGGCAUCUUCUGCCUCCACGGGCUCUGAGAUCUCCAGCAGUGUCUGUUAUUGCGAGCACAGGUCCCCCCGGAGAGGACUGUUUCCUUUGCUGAUGGUCUGAAAGGUACUUUAUGUUCGGAUGCAGUGCUGUCUUGAUUGGGGACCAUUCUUUUUCCUCAAAUGUCCUCCAAUUUGGCAGACCAUGUAUUCCAAUCUGGAAAACUCCACCCUUACUUUCAGGAAUUUUUCUCUGCCCCUUCUCUAAGGACCUCCAUUCCCUUUGCCUUUCCUUGAGGAUAAACGCCUUUCCUUGAUAUGACUCGUUCGUCCCUGCUGCGUUCCAGCUUCCACAGGAUUGGAUCCACUGUAGCGAGUCCACACAUGCUUAGUAGCACGGAUGCAGGGGGAGAAGGGGUGCAUGAAUGACUGUGUGUGGCUGAGGACAGCCCUCGGGUGCUCUCUGUCAGGUGUCAUGUUGGCAGCUGGCCCUGUCUGCCCUUGGUGUCCAAGCCUGUGCCCCGUGUCAGGGUCUGGGGUCAGAUUCUGUGUUUCAAGAUCCAAUAGCAACACACACACACAAAUUCCUGGAUGUCAGGGCCAGGUGGGACCCCAGAGACCACCUAGGUGCAUCUAUCCUUCAUUGAUAUACAAGGCACCCCCCAGAGAGGGAAGGGCCUUCCUUGCCCAAUAUCACACAGGAAGUUGAGGGGAUACAGCCGGGUCUCCUGACUCCUAGUCACAGCUCUCUUCACCAUUCCACAUUCUCUCCCUAAUUUUGACAACCCCCUGUCCCUUCCUCUCUCUCUCUCUUUGCUGUCAUCUCUGUACUUUUCUCAUGCCCUCCCCUUUCAGAACCUGCCCAUUUCUCAAGGCCUAUCCUGGCCCUCCUUCACUCUGGAACCUGCCUGAUUCCUCUCCCCUAACUUCUUCUGCACCAUUAGUGACAAGUCCUGCUAAUUCUCAUCCCCUAAUUGUCUGUAACACAAAUUAAUGCUUGAUUACUUGAUGCUCUAAUGACCUGGGCUCUAACCAGGCUCAAUUGCUUUCUAGCUGCGUGACCUUGGGCUACUUACUUAACGUUCUUAGUCCUCUGUUUUGUCAUCUGUAAAGUGGGGCUGGCUUUUGAGCCUGAGUAAAUAGCAGAAGCCAAGACUCAGAGGGGUAAACUUCAAAAACGGCAGUGUUAAAAUCUAAGGGCAGUGUUAAAAUCUAAGGUGUGAUGGUGGUGUGUUGGGAGCAGUGGUGAGAAGGCAGGCAGGGGUCAAACUGGGGGAGCCUCAGCUGUGGGGGGCUUAUGUUAUUGGUAAUGGGGCUUCCAUGAGGCUUUUUGGAAGGGAAGUAACAAACCCCUACCUAGAGCUUGAAGUGGGGUAGAAAGGGCACCGGCUUUGCAGCUGGCAGAUCUGGAUUGAAAUUCCAGCUCUACCACUGACUAGCUGUGUGAUGCUGCACACAUUGCUAGAUCUCUCUGAGCCUCCUUUUUCAAUCUAUAAAAUAAGGAUUAUACUCACCCUAUGGAAUUGUGGUAAGGAUUAAACAAGAAAAGGUCUAUUAAUUGCUUAGCUUGGAGUCUUGCACUUAGUAAGUACUUAACAAGGAGUAGCCGUGAUUACUGGUGCUGUCGUCAUUACCCAGCAGCGCGUGUCUGCCUCCUGACCUGCCUCUGUCCUGGGUCUCUCUGGGCCCUGGGUGUCAGGCUCAUUCCUCAUUUCCCAACCUGGAAGCUUCCCAAGGGCAGGGCUCACAUGCAUCAUCUUCUCGCUCUGGCUGUUUCAGGAAGUGAUGGGAGUGGGGAAGGCUGUUGAACUGGUGAUGUCACAAUUUGGGGCUUCUGGGUGGUUCUGCAGAGGCCCCAGGGACCUGUAGGCAGGUGGAGAGGGGAUGGGGGAGGUCUCAGGUCCUCUUGCUCACCCAUCAGCUGUGUAGUGUCUGAAGUGAUUAAGGAGCUUGGGGAGGCCUCCCAGGCUGGUCUGCUCCACUGGCCCUCAGAAAGACUUGUCGCCUCGCCGAGCCUCAGUGUUCUCAUCUGAAGAAUAGAGUGGGCAAGGCCUUUCUCCUACACACUCAGAGCCCUGAAUGGGAAGAAAUGGGUUCCAUGUGCAGCAAGCCAGGAGAGAUUUAGGCAACGAGAACCUCCAGUUCUGUCUUAGGGUUCCCAGCUUUCUCCUUGUCCUGAGGGAGCCGCUGAGCCUGUGGGAGAUGAGGGGUGCCCAUUCCCCAGUGCUUCUCACCCUCCCCCACCUGCCCUCCUGGGGUACCUUUGUCUGCCACUUGCAUCCUAUUGGAAGCUGUCCCCAAGUGCGUGUUAGGCAGGUGGCAGGUGCUGGAGCAGAGUGCACCACCCUCCGGCGAUCACUGUGAGUUGGGGUAAGAGUGGGGUGUUCCUGCCAGCCCCAGGAGAGGGGAAAGCAAGCCCCCGUCCACCCUUGUGGGUCUCUGCUCCUGGAAAAGGUGCUCUAGCAGGCUCAUCUGUGUGAGUCACUGUCUUCCAUGUGGGGGGCUGUGCUGAAGAAGCCUUGGUGAUAUGGGUGCAAAUGCCAAAAACAUGGAAUGCUGGAAGCCAAGCUUGCACAUUCUAGGCAGCCAUUUGGAAGAUUCUUCUCUGCGCAUGACCAGCUGAAAAGGAAAAACCCCGAAACAUUGGCACUGUGAUUUCUCCAUGUGAACAGUUUAGUUCGCCGAGGUGGACAUGCCUCAUUCAUGCUUAUGGAGUGACCGACCAGCCUUUAGUGACACCCCCUGAAAUGUGAGUCAUCCAUGGGUCACUAGUCAUUGGAGAAGAGCCCCUUAUACAAAACUUGGAGCUCAGACCACAAACAACAACAACAAUCCAAAAAAUAAAAAAAUGAAAAAUUAGGAGCAGAGACUAAAUGGAAAGAUGGAAAUAUUAAAAUAAAAAUAUUAUUUU